rnacentral:rRNA from 1 species
CCUACGGGUGGCAGCAGUGGGGAAUAUUGGACAAUGGGCGAAAGCCUGAUCCAGCCAUGCCGCGUGUGUGAAGAAGGCCUUCGGGUUGUAAAGCACUUUCAGUGGGGAAGAAAGCCUUGGGGCUAAUACCCCCGAGGAAGGACAUCACCCACAGAAGAAGCACCGGCUAACUCCGUGCCAGCAGCCGCGGUAAUACGGAGGGUGCGAGCGUUAAUCGGAAUUACUGGGCGUAAAGCGCGCGUAGGCGGUCUGAUAAGCCGGUUGUGAAAGCCCCGGGCUCAACCUGGGAACGGCAUCCGGAACUGUCAGGCUAGAGUGCAGGAGAGGAAGGUAGAAUUCCCGGUGUAGCGGUGAAAUGCGUAGAGAUCGGGAGGAAUACCAGUGGCGAAGGCGGCCUUCUGGACUGACACUGACGCUGAGGUGCGAAAGCGUGGGUAGCAAACAGGAUUAGAUACCCCUGUAGUC